GACAUUUUAAUAAAAAUAUAAAGUUUAAAUUAAAAACUUUACCAGGAAUGUACAUUUCUAAUACUUCCAUGAAGGACAAAAUUAGAAGAUGUGCAGAAAGAAACCAGAGACGAAAAUAUAAAAGACGCAUACGAUUUUAAGUACAAACUACCUUUUUUUGAGGAUUAAGUUAUGUUUAAAAGCAUGGGUCCCAUUUGUGACGGCCGAGUUUACGUUUUAAGCAUGUCCAAUGCUUUAUUUUUUUGACGUAAAUUGUUGGGUUGGGUGUGUUGUAAUGGAUGAAGAUUGAUGACGCCGAUUGAUGAUCGUUAGUAUCCAUUUUAUUGGAGGGGUGGCUGCUGUUUCUUGUAGCUGUUCCGCGUGAUACCGUAUUGCUCAGCUACCUUUAUUGCCCAUAUCCUUGGUAAAAGUCACAGUCCUGAAUUUUGGAUCUACGUCACAUCCGAAGGCUACAACUUGUGUGAAUACACCCAAGCUCUUCAUUUGUGACCCCAUUGUCUGGCAGGAACAAUGGGCCUUGAAUAUCCCAAUACAUUGACUGUGGCGCUACUUUGGCAACAAAACAUUAACAAUGAGCAUCUAAUUUGAAUGCUAUUUUGUCUUUUGUUGUUAGAGAUUUAAUCAUCUCCUUCUAGCCAGGUUUGCAGCUUCCCGGCAGUUUCCAUCAUUAGAGCUGCCAUUGUUUACAUAAGCGCUUUAUUCGAAGGGCGAGUGAUGGGUGGUCAGAAGAUUGGAGCAGCUAACUACACAUGUGGAUUUCAUAAUAGCUUUUUUAAAACUGAGAUGAGAUGCCGUUGUCGACUGCUUUUACUACUUCGUAUUGGCUUGCCUGAAUUUUGUUGAAUAUUAAGAGAACCAUAAAAAAAUCCAACUCUUACAUUUUUUUAAAUACUAUUUUCAAUUCAAUUUCAAUUUCCCCAAAAUAUUUCGGAAUUUCCUGGUAAAAAGCAACAGUGCUGCGAGUUAUGAGGACGACAUGUGGAAUAACCAUGCGUAUGCUGUUUGCAGUGCGAACGCUAAAUAAUUCGUAAUUGAGUUGACGCCGACCCAGGAUGCAGGAUCCGGAAUAUACGAGGGCGUCGAAGGGCAGGGACAAAGUUACAAAUCGUUGUGCAAAGAAAGAAAAAACAAUUACCCAGCAAACGAUGGGCGGUCCAAGAUGAAAUACGGUUUUAUUAAAGAAGUGAAUGCUAUUUCCUGGUCCACGGUCCCUCCAUCGUUCCUCAUAUGCCGCGACCUUUGCUUUGACCAAGACAUUUGCACUUGACAUUAGCCGCGCGGGUGGGCCGAGGGUGGUUUUUAUAUAGGCUUGUAUUCGUAAUUAGAAUAAAACCAGAACUUGAGUGGCGGUCUUUGCAGCAACCACACUGCCUUCGCCACUUCUACUCAUAGUCGUCCCCAGAAAAAUACAAAUCAGUUAUUUGUAUUCUCAAACAAUUCAAUGACCCGCACGUGCAGUUGCAUCACCCUGCUCACAGAACGCUCCCUUUUCUAUGUGGUAUUUUAAGGGUCCAUCAAGAGAAGCGUUCAAGUUAUAUUCGCUUGCCUUUUUUUUAUUUAAAGUCUAUCGGCGAAAGUGUGGAAGAUUCACAGGUGUGUUCCCAUAUAAGAUAUGGCUAGCUCUGGUGGGAUAAGCCCUAAGGGAGUUCAUUCAAACAAAGAAAAAAGAAUUUCACAAAAAAAUAACAAAGAACUGUAGUAAAGGUAAGAUAAAACAAGAGAGAACGCUAUAGUUUCCUGACUAUCUGAUACCCGUUACUAAGCUAGGGAAAAUGCCAAGGAGACUCUUGAACAGUGACAGUUUAUGGCAGUUUGUGGUCGUGGUCAGAGUUUUUUGACAAAUCGGUAGAAAUUUACAAUACAAACAAAAAAGUUGAAAAAAUAUCAAAACAUGUUUCAAAAGUAUGGGCGUGGCAGUUUUGGGCGGUUUGUGGGCGUAAGAUUGUGCGCGGCAGCAUUCGGAAACAAUGUUGCGUCUCAAUCCUCAAGCCCAAUAUUAAGUUUCUAACUUUUUUAUAUGGUUGAAAACGCUUCUUCCUGCCUGUUACAUACUUUUCAACGAAUCUAGUAUACUCUUUUACUGUACGAGUAACGUUUAUAAAUAUUUAUAACUUGACUAAAAUUUAUUAGAAAAGAUACUGUUCGUACCAUAUACAUUUCUCGGAGUGCGUAUGUGAGGAAUAUGAGAUUGUGAAUUAGAUUACAAUUAUUUUUGGAUUAUUAUACUUUAACUCAAGAUGCUGCAAAAGACCAUUAUGUUGAUUUUAAUUAGGUGAUUUAUUAGAUUUAAUGGUAAGAGUAGAUUUUAAUGGUUACUUUACUUGAAAUAGCCAUUUGUAUUUAAUUAAUUAUAGAUCUUUCGGAUUAAUUUUAAAAUGAUUUCGGUAUCACCAAGUAAUACUACAUACUUACAAAUAAAAUAUGCAUGUACUCUUGUGCUCUUGUUUAAGUUUUUUGCGACUUUGGGCAAUAUACAUAAGUUUAAAGCAAGCUUGCGCUAAACAGUCUGCAUACCAAAUCUCAAGUUAGUUUGAGUUGAUUGUUUGAUUGGUCGUGGUAAUCUUUUAAAACAAAUGCUAUAGUUAAGCUUUUCAAUUAGCACAUACCCGUUACUCAGAUAAUAUGAGUUUCAAGCUCUUUUGUAACAAAGUAGGCAUACAUAUUUUGCUGGAGGUAUAACAUAGUCGGUACUUCUUCCAUCACCACCAGAAACAAAACAAACGUAGAUCAGCGACAGCAAUAAAACAGAAUCAGUUUAUUAUGAUAAUUGAGUUGCAUUUAAUUUGAAUUUCACGGCAUUUUAAUCGCAAAGAAAAAAAUAAUCCGAAUCAGAAUAAUUGCUUCUGCAUUACAUUUUAAUAUUUCAUAUCGCUCGUAUCGCAGUUCAUCUAAUGUCUGUGAGCCCGGAGCAAUUAUUAUUAAUUCUUUAAAGAAGUUAAAAUAUUUUAAAUAAGGCUAGUCAGCCACCCGUUGCGUCUAAUUUGUUUUCCCGUGAGGUUUGCUUUUAAAUAUUUAUUUUCAUCUUAUCCCAUCAAUGGAAAUAGGAUGGUUCCUUUUUAAAUGAGAAUGGUAUUGAUUUUCUGUUUGUGCCAUCUGAGAAAGGAAUUGUCUUGAGAAACCCCCCAAGAGCACUUGUACAACCUUCCCAUCAACAACAAUGCCGCAAGAUGUAGUCAUUCUCCAGAACUAAGGAGUCAGUCAAUGAAGCGAUGACACAGCGUGUCAUCUGUGUAAUUUGCAGCUCUAAUGCCCCAGCAUUCGUCCACUGUCACUACUGUUCGUAUACCUUGUGUUAUUGGAAUAUUAACGGUUUUUGUUACAGCUUUCGGCGACAGGAACAGCCGCUUGGGAAUUCGGAUUCGACAACUUCGCGGCUGAAUGUCUCAGCUGGUGGUUGCGGUAUUGUGGUUGCUUCAAUUUUUAUCAGAUUAAGCCUAGUGGCAGACGACACACGGAGCGUGCCAAUGAAUUUUAAUAGUAAUAGCUGAAGCUAUAGCCAUUUCAGUACCAAUCUAAAGAGAACAUUGCAUUUCGCAGGACUUGACAACUUGAUAUUUCGAAUCUAGUAGGUUCUACUCAAAAAGUAACAGAAAAUGAUAUCAAAGGGAAUUCGGAUUAUGCUUGCUUCGUUGCAGAGGGUAUAUGGAUUUCAGUAAGAUGUUUGCAACGCAGUAUCACAAUAACCAUCCGAGUUAAUAUAGCAAUGCCCUUAAAUAUACAUAUAUAAUUGCACAGAUACUUUUGUAUCCAGGUGAAAAGUUUUCUUCAUAUGACUACUCCUGAUGUCCUCUCGAUGUCCUGCACACGUGCUAACAGCACUUACUGGACACCAUGUUUUAACUAAUUGUGUACCACAAACACGCACUUCGCCACAGAUUUAUUUGCUAUUUCAGGAGUCAUUAGCUUCGUAAAGGGAGGGAAGUUAGACCUAUUUCAAGCACCCUCUUGCAUUAUUAGAAGAAAACGGGCUUUCUAAGGGAUUUAAAAGGGAUAAUGCAAACAAAUUUUGGGGAAGGAAGGUCUAGGUGGUUAAUUGUAGUUUUAAUAAUAAACAUUUUAAUAAUCCAAAUUCUUAUAACUUUUCCAUUAAAACUUUACUUAUUUAUAUAGGAUACAAAAGAAAUUUGCGAGUAAAGGCAAUUUAUGGGCUUAGGUCGUCUCCCGAGACUCAGAUGCUUUACUACCAUCACGCACCAUUUUCAUUUAUUUUUAUUUCUACCACUUUUCAACACUGUAGUUCAUUGGGAAAACAUCUAUAAAUAGCUACCGUUUCUAUGCCUAUAAAUGCAGAUUUCUUUUUGGAGGUCCGAUUUAACUAAUGAAGGUCCUUACCUUAUUAUUCGUUUUAUUUAUAGAUUUAAAAUUGUAAUCAUUUACAACAGUUACAUAAAGUGCAAACAGAAAUAAUAUAGGAUCAAAUUAAACUCCAUCUUCAUAUCUUUGUAGAAAAUAUAAAAUCAUAUUUCCACAUUUAAUAUGUUGCUUUUUGACAGCGUUGCCAGAUGAAAAUUUUCCUUUUUCUCCGAAUAAAAUUUUUAUACUCGAUAUACACUUUUUCCUUAAAUUAAAAAAAAUUAAGAUUGUGAAAUCAAUGUUUAAUGUAAUGUUAAUGUUAAUGUAAUUUUAUAUGUUUGUUAUUAUAAUUACAUAAUAUAUGGAUGUAUAUAUUACUACUAAGAAUCUAGAUCGAAUGUUAAUAUAUCACAACUUCAUUUAUGAA